AGCAUUGCGGCUGUCCAGGUCUCUAGUAUAGUAGUAGGUCAUGCUGACUGAAGGGUACCAGGAAGGAGGUUUGAGCCGUGCUUUGGCAACAACAUCCCGCCGAUUCGAAAACUGGAGGGUGAAGUGCUGAUAGUUGCAGGUCAGGACUCGAAAGGGGCCGUCGUACGGGGGCUGCAGAGGCUUUUGUAACGAAUCUUGCCGGACGAAAACGUGUGUGGCACUCGCGAGGCCCGAGAGGUUUGAAAGGCACGGGGAGGAAGAGGGUGCAGCAACUACAUGUCUGGAAAGGCGAAGUGUCGUGCCGUAGACCACCUCGGACGCUGUACUGCCAGCAUCCUGCUUGACGGUCGAGGGUAUAGCCAGAAGGACAAAAGGAAUGUCCGUUACCAAGUCAUCCAAGGACGCAGUUCCUCGCACGGCAACCACGACAGAACAAGUCUUGUGGUCGAAGGCCACGAAGAAAGGCAACCUGUACACGCCGUUGCUGAAGGACGAAUACACCGAGUCUUCGGGUGCAAUUUGAGUGACGCAGCGCAGGGUGGCAGCGUUGCACUGAAAGCAAUUGUCUCCUACGAUACGGUCGCUGUCCUCUUGAUUCGUGCACCUUUAGUCGGGGUAAGACAUCAACAUGUGUCACUCAACAUUGUUCUUGUAAAGAGUCGAUGAAUUAAAGGCCCUACCCACGUGUC